UCUAUUAUGGCAGAUUAAUGCAAUGGUCUUAAGAUCCAUUUAUAAAGAUUUUAUCUUUUUUUAGAA
rnacentral:tRNA from 3 species